rnacentral:misc_RNA from 1 species
GAUGAAGAACGCAGCGAAAUGCGAUAACUAAUGUGAAUUGCAGAAUUCCGUGAAUCAUCGAGUCUUUGAACGCACAUUGCGCCCCCUGGUAUUCCGGGGGGCAUGCCUGUCCGAGCGUCAUUGCUGCCCAUCAAGCACGGCUUGUGUGUUGGGUCCCGUCCCCCUCUCCCGGGGGACGGACCCGAAAGGCAGCGGCGGCACCGCGUCCGGUCCUCGAGCGUAUGGGGCUUUGUCACCCGCUCUUGUAGGCCCGGCCGGCGCUUGCCGACACCCAACCAUUUUUUUCAGGUUGACCUCGGAUCAGGUAGGGAUACCCGCUGAACUUAAGCAUAUCAAUAAGCGAGGA